AAGCUUUAAGUUAAAUAACUAAACUAUUAACCUUCAAAGUUAAAUAUAUAUAAGAUAUAAGCUUUA
rnacentral:tRNA from 1 species